UACAGAGGGUGCAAACGUUGCUCGGAAUCAUUGGGCGUAAAGCGCGUGUAGGCGGCUUUGCAAGUCGGAUGUGAAAGCCCACGGCUCAACCGUGGAAGUGCAUCCGAAACUGCAUGGCUCGAGUCUCGGAGAGGAAGGUGGAAUGCUUGGUGUAGAGGUGAAAUUCGUAGAUAUCAAGCAGAACACCUGCGGCGAAGGCGGCCUUCUGGACGAUGACUGACGCUGAGACGCGAAAGCGUGGGGAGCAAACAGG
rnacentral:rRNA from 1 species